rnacentral:rRNA from 1 species
CCUACGGGAGGCAGCAGUGGGGAAUAUUGCACAAUGGGGGAAACCCUGAUGCAUCGACGCCGCGUGAGUGAAGAAGUCUUUCGGUAUGUAAAGCUCUAUCAGCAGGGACGAAAAAAGACGGUACCGGACUAAGUAGCACCGGCUAACUACGUGCCAGCAGCCGCGGUAAUACGUAGGGGGCAAGUGUUAUCCGGAUUUACUGGGUUUAAAGGGAGCGUAGACGGGUGUGUAAGUCUGAAGUGAAAGCCCAGGGCUCAACCCUGGGAUUGCUUUGGAAACUGUGUAGCUAGAGUGCUGGAGAGGUAAGUGGAAUUCGUAGUGUAGCGGUGAAAUGCGUAGAUAUUACGAGGAACACCAGGGGCGAAGGCGGCUUACUGGACAGUAACUGACGUUGAGGCUCGAAAGCGUGGGGAGCAAACAGGAUUAGAUACCCCUGUAGUC